rnacentral:lncRNA from 1 species
AUUCAAUUGUGCAUUACACUAAGGGGCCGUUUGGUUGGAUGUAGUUAUAAAUACAGUGUAGUUAAAAAUGCAUGCAGUUGAAAUACAGCUGUUGUAAUUAUAUAUAGUUUGUUUGGUUUUGUCUAGAUGUAACUGUUGCAGUUGCAUUUCUUCUGUUUGAUAAUUUAAAGCUGUUAGUUGUAUUUGUGAAUCAAAUCACCUCUUUAGAUAGAGUGGUGAGAUUACCUUCACUAUACAUAAAAUAAUUGUACAAUUUUAUUAAUCAUUUAAAUUUACUAUCUAUAAAUAAAUAAGUGGAUAUAUAUAAUAUUGUUAUAUUUUUCAAUAAUUCUUCAACUUAUCAAUCGACACAUUUAAAAUUUUAAUUUAUUUAAUUUUCAUAUUUAAAUCAAACUUUAAAAAUUUAAAUGAAUAUCUCAUAUUUUUUGUCAAAUUUAAUAAUUAUAAUUAAUUAAAACUUUAUUAA